GCUGCAUUUUGCUGACCCAUCACACAAAGCAAUUUAUACUGGUUGCUUUUGAAAACUGCCUGUGGCUUGCCAGUCUUCACCCAUCUCUCCAGACUCCCUGUCUGCUGUUUGCUUUCUUUCUUCCAGGGUCAUAAAAUACAACUGUCACAAUGGGAGAUGACGAGGUAUGGUGUUGGAUGUCAACUACAGUACAACUUGUGUGACUGCAUGAUAAUGUGAAGCUGGUCCCAGUAUAAUUUUACUCAUGAUUCAAAGAACACUCUCACUGCGUAGCUUAAAGCAUGCACAAUCAUAUUCUGCAUUCCAACAGUUUCAACAGCAGGGGUUAUUUGGUAUAUCUUA